CCGUGCCACCACUGGCCUGACCGAGCCCAAUCUCAUCUGAUCUUGUGAAGCUAAGCAGGAUUAGGCCUGGUUAGUGCUUGGA
rnacentral:rRNA from 1 species